rnacentral:ncRNA from 1 species
CUUUGGCUAUCCAAAGCGUCGCCGGUGCCACGGAGUUAGGCCGUGGGUUCCAGAUUGUGAAAAUGCCCGGAG